rnacentral:tRNA from 1 species
GGCCCUCUGGCGCAACGGUAGCGCGUUCGACUCCAGCUUGAGACUCCUCGAGGUGUUAUCGAAAGGUUAUCUGUUCAAAUCAGGUGGGGGUCA